GGUGAGGGCAGUAGGGACAGGGAAUCCCCCCCAUUUGCAUCACCUGUCACCGCACACAUCCUGCACACCUCCCUCUUCAUCUGUAAUUUGAGUGAGGGGUGAGUGGGGAGGAACGGGGCUUGUCUGGUGGGGUUGAGACUAGAGUCUUGGAAUUUGUGGGAGCAAAUUUCCUCUUCUUGUAAAUUAAAAAAAGAAAAAGGCCAACAAGCUGUCAAAUAAGUCUUGAAGUUGUUGUUAUUAUUAUUAUUGCAAUGAGAAGAUGAACCUUGCUCUGAAUUGAAUCUCAAACUUCCAGCCCUGAUAGGGAUCCUGGGCAUCUGGUGAGAGGUUUCGGGAUUCUGGAUGACAAUGCCUCGGUGCCCUCAAGGCCACUGAUUCCUCGCCACACAGUCUCAGUAACUCCGCAGCCUCUAGACACGGCUUUCCGGAAGCGGCCUGCAAGCUGGACCCCAGCGAGUUCGCAGGAUCUGCGUAGUCCCUGCUCGCGAUUAGCGCGCACACGAGUUUACUCCUGUCCAAGUAUUCUGAUAAGCUUCCUCUACUGCCCUCUCGUGGCCACAGUCCUCAGUGGUAUAAAUCUAAAAAACAACAAAAAUCACUGCGAAUACCUAAAAGCAAUUGCACCAAAUUCUUAGAGCAGUAGCGGCAGAAGAAACGAAGGGAGGGAAGGAUGAAGAAAGGGAGCCGGAGAAAAGAGAGAGAGGAAGAAGAAAAGGAAAUCUAGACUAACCAGUCAUCUCGAGCAAUCGCACAUUCAACACAGGACUGGGGGAUCUAGGCUUUACUCCAACAUCUGCAGAAAUCAGC
rnacentral:lncRNA from 1 species